CAACUCUUCCUCACUUUGUAAAUUAGAUAUUUCUUUUCUCAGUUGGCCAUUCAGAUGGGGUAAAGUCAAUAUCCUUUUAAAACCAAACCAGAUUAUAUUUCCCUGUUUUGGAUCCUUUGAGAGGAAACAUGU
rnacentral:snoRNA from 1 species